UACGGAGGAUGCAAGCGUUAUCCGGAUUUAUUGGGUUUAAAGGGUGCGCAGGUUGUUUGAUAAGUCAGUGGUGAAAGUCUGUCGCUUAACGGCAGGAUUGCCAUUGAUACUGUUAGACUUGAAUAUGGAUGAGGUAGGCGGAAUGUGUAGUGUAGCGGUGAAAUGCAUAGAUAUUACACAGAACACCGAUUGCGAAGGCAGCUUACUAAUCCAUCAUUGACGCUGAGGCACGAAAGCGUGGGGAGUCAAA
rnacentral:rRNA from 1 species